UACGAAGGGGGCUAGCGUUGCUCGGAAUUACUGGGCGUAAAGGGCGCGUAGGCGGAUAGUUUAGUCAGAGGUGAAAGCCCAGGGCUCAACCCUGGAAUUGCCUUUGAUACUGGCUAUCUUGAGUUCGGGAGAGGUGAGUGGAACUCCGAGUGUAGAGGUGAAGUUCGUAGAUAUUCGGAAGAACACCAGUGGCGAAGGCGACUCACUGGCCCGAUACUGACGCUGAGGCGCGAAAGCGUGGGGAGCAAACAGG
rnacentral:rRNA from 1 species